AGAGUUUGAUCCUGGCUCAGGAUGAACGCUAGCGAUAGGCUUAACACAUGCAAGUCGAGGGGCAGCGGGGGUGAUGGCUUGCCAUCACCUGCCGGCGACCGGCGCACGGGUGAGUAACACGUAUGCAACCUGCCCGCCACAGGGGGAUAAGCGGAAGAAAUUCCGUCUAAUACCGCGUGACGCGGCGUCGGGGCAUCCCGGUGCCGCCAAAGGGAUUACCGGUGGCGGAUGGGCAUGCGGCGCAUUAGCUAGUCGGCGGGGUAACGGCCCACCGAGGCGACGAUGCGUAGGGGUUCUGAGAGGAAGGUCCCCCACACUGGUACUGAGACACGGACCAGACUCCUACGGGAGGCAGCAGUGAGGAAUAUUGGUCAAUGGGCGGGAGCCUGAACCAGCCAAGUCGCGUGAGGGAUGACGGUCCUACGGAUUGUAAACCUCUUUUGCCGGGGAGCAAGCGUGCGUUCGUGAACGCGCGUCGAGAGUACCCGGAGAAAAAGCAUCGGCUAACUCCGUGCCAGCAGCCGCGGUAAUACGGAGGAUGCGAGCGUUAUCCGGAUUUAUUGGGUUUAAAGGGUGCGUAGGCGGGAUGCCAAGUCAGCGGUAAAAAUGCGGUGCUCAACGCCGUCGAGCCGUUGAAACUGGCGUUCUUGAGUGGGCGAGAAGUAUGCGGAAUGCGUGGGGUAGCGGUGAAAUGCAUAGAUAUCACGCAGAACUCCGAUUGCGAAGGCAGCAUACCGGCGCCCUACUGACGCUGAGGCACGAAAGCGUGGGUAUCGAACAGGAUUAGAUACCCUGGUAGUCCACGCAGUAAACGAUGAAUGCUAACUGUCCGGUGCGAGUGAGCGCUGGGCGGUACAGCGAAAGCGUUAAGCAUUCCACCUGGGGAGUACGCCGGCAACGGUGAAACUCAAAGGAAUUGACGGGGGCCCGCACAAGCGGAGGAACAUGUGGUUUAAUUCGAUGAUACGCGAGGAACCUUACCCGGGCUCAAACGCAGGAUGACGGGUCCCGAAAGGGGCCUUUCUUCGGACAUUCUGCGAGGUGCUGCAUGGUUGUCGUCAGCUCGUGCCGUGAGGUGUCGGCUUAAGUGCCAUAACGAGCGCAACCCCUGUCCACAGUUGCCAGCAGGUAAAGCUGGGGACUCUGUGGAGACUGCCGGCGCAAGCUGCGAGGAAGGCGGGGAUGACGUCAAAUCAGCACGGCCCUUACGUCCGGGGCGACACACGUGUUACAAUGGCAGGUACAGCGGGAUGCCACGGGGCGACCCGGCGCUGAACCCGAAAACCUGUCUCAGUUCGGAUUGGAGUCUGCAACCCGACUCCAUGAAGCUGGAUUCGCUAGUAAUCGCGCAUCAGCCACGGCGCGGUGAAUACGUUCCCGGGCCUUGCACACACCGCCCGUCAAG
rnacentral:rRNA from 1 species